rnacentral:rRNA from 1 species
CCUACGGGGGGCAGCAGUGGGGAAUAUUGGACAAUGGGGGCAACCCUGAUCCAGCGACGCCGCGUGGGUGAAGAAGGCCUGCGGGUUGUAAAGCCCUUUCGGUGGGGAAGCGUAACCUACUAAAGAAGCACCGGCUAACUCUGUGCCAGCAGCCGCGGUAAUACAGAGGGUGCGAGCGUUAAUCGGAAUUACUGGGCGUAAAGCGCGCGUAGGCGGCUUUGCAAGUCGAGUGUGAAAUCCCCAGGCUCAACCUGGGAACUGCAUUCGAGACUGCAUAGCUAGAGUAUGGGAGAGGGAAGUGGAAUUUCGGUGUAGCGGUGAAAUGCGUAGAUAUCUGAAGGAACAUCAGUGGCGAAAGCGACUUCCUGGACCAUCUGACGCUCAUGUGCGAAAGCGUGGGGAGCAAACAGGAUUAGAUACCCUUGUAGUC